AUUGAUGUUGUCAAAGAAAGUUCUAAAUAGAUAAUUGAUAAUGACAAACUUCUAUUUAUAUGUCUUGACCAAAUCUUGUGCCAGCAGUCGCGGCAAUACAAGUAAGACUAGUGUUAUUCAUCUUUAUUAGGUUUAAAGGGUACCUAGACUGUUAUACUAACCUGAUAAAGGUAUGGUAUCUCUAGAGUUUUAUGUAAGAGGUAAAUUUGAGUGCUAUUGGUGUAGAGAUGAAAUAUUUUGAUACUUAUAGAACAGAUAAAGGCGAAGACAAUCCUCUAUGUAAAAACUGACGUUGAGGGACGAAGGCUUGGGGAGCAAAAAGGAUUAGAUACCCUAGUAGUCCAGGCAGAAAAUUAUGAGUGCUAUACAGUAAAUAGUUAAGUUUAUGUAUAAAUUAAAGUGUAAGCAUUCCACCUCAAGAGUAAUGCGGCAACGCAGAAACUGAAAUCAUUAGACCGUUUCUGAAACCAGUAGUGAAGUAUGUUAUUUAAUUCGAUGAUCCUCGAAAAACCUUACCACAAUUUGAAUAGUACUAAUUUUGUUAAAAGAAUAAUAUUAAGUUCUAAUCUAAUUAAUAAAGAGGUAUUACAAGUGUUGCACGGCUGUCUUUAGUUAAUGUCGUGAGACGUUGGUUAGAUUCAUUAAAUUAACGUAAACCCUUGCUUUAU
rnacentral:rRNA from 1 species